rnacentral:sRNA from 1 species
AUAUCUCUCCGUACGGGAAGGAUGAGAAGCUUCGACCAAGGUUCGAUUCGAGCGCAGCGAGAAAGCGUUGCCGCAGGCAACGACCCGAAGGGUGAAGCGCGCAGCGC